GAUGAACGCUGGCGGCGUGCUUAACACAUGCAAGUCGAGCGAAGCACCUUGAUUCGAUUCUUCGGAUGAAGAUCUUGGUGACUGAGUGGCGGACGGGUGAGUAACGCGUGGGUAACCUGCCUCAUACAGGGGGAUAACAGUUAGAAAUGACUGCUAAUACCGCAUAAGACCACAGCACCGCAUGGUGCAGGGGUAAAAACUCCGGUAGUAUGAGAUGGACCCGCGUCUGAUUAGGUAGUUGGUGGGGUAACGGCCUACCAAGCCGACGAUCAGUAGCCGACCUGAGAGGGUGACCGGCCACAUUGGGACUGAGACACGGCCCAAACUCCUACGGGAGGCAGCAGUGGGGAAUAUUGCACAAUGGGGGAAACCCUGAUGCAGCGACGCCGCGUGAGCGAUGAAGUAUUUCGGUAUGUAAAGCUCUAUCAGCAGGGAAGAAAAUGACGGUACCUGACUAAGAAGCACCGGCUAAAUACGUG
rnacentral:rRNA from 1 species